UAUAUACAUCACAGUAACCAUGCAUGGCCUUCUAUUAUAGACUCUGGGUGAAGAAAUCUCUCUCUCUCUCUCUCUCUCUCUCUCUCUCUCUCUCUCUCUCUCUCUCUCUCUCUCUGUGCCAGUAGCAUCAUUAUCAUUUUAUCAUAUUAUCAUCAUUUGAGUUCUGGGGAAAUGGAGGGUCGAUUGAGUUGUCUUCUAGUAUUAAUCCUGCAAAUAGUGAGUUGGGUUUCUGCAACAAGCAGG
rnacentral:lncRNA from 1 species